rnacentral:misc_RNA from 1 species
CGGGCGUCCUCACAAAUUACCUGCAUUCAGAGAUUCAUACCGGCACAGGUCGGUAUGCGAAGUCCCUUUUGGGGCCUUAGCUCAGCUGGGAGAGCACCUGCUUUGCAAGCAGGGGGUCGUCGGUUCGAUCCCGACAGGCUCCACCAUAUUGAGUGAAAAGACUUCGGGUCUGUAGCUCAGGUGGUUAGAGCGCACCCCUGAUAAGGGUGAGGUCGGUAGUUCGAGUCUACCCAGACCCACCACUCUGAAUGUAGUGCACACUUAAGAAUUUAUAUGGAUCAGCGUUGAGGCUGAGACAUGUUCUUUUAUAACUUGUGACGUAGCGAGCGUUUGAGAUAUCUAUCUAAACGUGUCGUUGAGGCUAAGGCGGGGACUUCGAGUCCCUAAAUAAUUGAGUCGUAUGUUCGCGUUGGUGGCUUUGUACCCCACACAACACGGCAUGUAACUCCGAGGCAACUUGGGGUUAUAUGGUCAAGCGAAUAAGCGCACACGGUGGAUGCCUAGGCGGUCAGAGGCGAUGAAGGACGUGGUAGCCUGCGAAAAGUGUCGGGGAACCG